rnacentral:misc_RNA from 1 species
UCCGAUUUGUCACCGGCAGUCUCCUAUGAGUCCCCGUCUUUCACGCUGGCAACAUAGGACAGGGGUUGCGCUCGUUGCGGGACCUAACCCAACAUCUCACGACACGAGCUGACGACAGCCAUGCACCACCUGUGACCGUGCCCCGAAGGGAGGGUGUGUUUCCACACCUGUCACGGACAUGUCAAGCCCAGGUAAGGUUCUUCGCGUUGCGUCGAAUUAAACCACAUGCUCCGCUGCUUGUGCGGGCCCCCGUCAAUUUCUUUGAGUUUUAGCCUUGCGGCCGUACUCCCCAGGCGGGGUACUUAAUGCGUUAGCUACGGCACAGAUCCCAAGGGAGGAAACCCACACCUAGUACCCACCGUUUACGGCGUGGACUAC